rnacentral:rRNA from 1 species
CCUACGGGAGGCCGCAGUGGGGAAUAUUGCACAAUGGGGGAAACCCUGAUGCAGCGACGCCGCGUGAGUGAAGAAGUAAUUCGUUAUGUAAAGCUCUAUCAGCAGGGAAGAAAAUGACGGUACCUGAGUAAGAAGCCCCGGCUAACUACGUGCCAGAAGCAGCGGUAAUACGUAGGGGGAAAGCGUUAUCCGGAUUUACUGGGUGUAAGGGGACCUAAGACGGCAGUGCAGGUCUGGAGUGAAGGGCGGGGGCUCACCCCCCGUACUGCUCUGGAAACUGUACGGUUGGAGUGCAGGAGAGGUAAGUGGAAUUCCUAGUGUAGCGGUGAAAUGCGUAGAUAUGAGGAGGAACACCAGUGGCGAAGGCGGCUUACUGGACUGUAACUGACGUUGAGGCUCGAAAGCGUGGGGAGCAAACAGGAUUAGAUACCCUUGUAGUC